rnacentral:lncRNA from 1 species
CCAACUAUGAGAAAAUAGUAUGAUAAGAAUUUAAAAUCAUAAGUGAAGUGAAUAAAUAUAUCCUGGAUAAAGUCACAUAGACUUUUGCUAUUAAUAGUUGAAUACAAGGCAUAAGUGUUUUCGUAAUGCAGUUUUCUUUUCUUGCUGCACAAAAAAAAAAGAUAGCAAUAAUUGUAACAUUUACCUAUGUGCAUUUUAUAUGAACAUGGUUUUCCUUGAGGGACAAACAGGGUGCACCAUUGCUUAAACUAACCAGUACAUCAUCCAAGCAGAAAUAAUAGCAUCCACAAGCAGAUUCAGACCAUAACAGUAUGUCAAUAUUCACCCAGCAUCCAGCCAUACUUGUCAAGAUGCGAUUACUCUAAUUCAUUAUCUAACAGGUUGGAAAAGUUAUGCCACAUGUGCUGAGUGCAUAACUUAUAAACAACUUACACAGCAAAAUACUAAAUCGGUCCACACUACGGCUAUGUUUAGUUCCUCUCACUAAAUUUGUCUCCGUCACAUCGAAUGUUUGAAUGCUAGUUAGAGUAUUAAUCUAAUCUAAUGACAACUAAUUACACAGAUGGAACUAAAUGACAAGACAGACCUAUUAAACUUAAUUAGUCCAUGAUUCGCUCAUGUGAUGCUACAGUAAACAUUUGACAAUCAUGAUUAGGGUUUAGACUUAAGGGUGUUAUGGUCGGGCAGACAUACAAGAGUAGGGAUAAGGAUGACGAGUCCUAGGCCGCUUGAAGGGAUAAGUCUGCUAUAUGAUAGUUUGUUAAGAUAGGGGUUCAAGCUGAUUAGAUCAGCCUAUUUGUUAGGAGAUUUCAGUUGGCCAUAGGCCUAUAUAAGUAGGACUUUUGUAAUCUGCCAGGUAGGCAAGAAGUAAUAAAGAUAUUGCUCCCUGCCCCUUGUUCACAUACCUGCCUCUCCUCUCGGGUAGCCACGGCGCCUGGACCAUCUUCCAGGCGACGAGCCACCACGCCCCAGCCCCCAGUUUCCCACCAAUACAACCUGCACAGUACCGUCCAUACCAACCUGGUAUCGGAGAUGCCGGGCUCAGAGGCGUCACCAGCAACCACCGUCGGGGAUGCAGAAGUCAGAGAUCUUCAGCCGGCGGCCUCCCAGACCAAUGAGAUGGCAGAUUUGAAGCGGAUGAUGACACAUUUCCAUCGUCGGAUGGUGCAACAGAUGUCAUCCCUAACAGCUCGGAUGGCUGCCAUGGAAGGGGCCUCAUCUUCAACACCGUCGGUUCCCAACCCUCCAGGUUUUCUGUACGGGGUGCUAGGAUUCGGCGGCAUCCUGCCAAGAACCACCUCGCCGCCAACCACCGCCCUUGCAGCCCCUACCACAUCCUUCGUUCCUAUCCACCAGAUCAACUUUCCGCCAUCACCUUCACCGCUGCCCACCUUCUCCACCACACCCCCUCGCACUUCCAUGACCAACUGCCAUGCGCCGCCGCCGCCCCAUACUCCAAGAUUCCCCAAUUUGGAAAUGUCUCUCUUCGACGGUAAAGAGGAUCCACUGGGAUGGCUCAAUCGAUGCGAACAAUACUUUCGUGGCCAGCGCACGGUUGAAGAAGAUAAGGUCUGGUUAGCCUCCUAUCACCUGACGGGCGCAACACAGCAAUGGUACAAUCUGUUGGAGCGCGAGGAGCCUUCCCUGUCCUGGCCACGCUUCAAGAAUCUGUGCCACCAGCGGUUUGGUCCUCCCCUCCGACAGAAUGCCCUCGGCGAGUUGGCUCGGCUAUCUUUCCGGACGACGGUGGAAGACUACCAAGAUCGCUUCAUGGCCCUGCUCUACCAUGUGGCUCCCCUAGCACCAGAAUAGCAGGUGCAACUGUUUACCGCGGGACUCCCUGACCUGAUUCGCAUCAACGUGGAGUUGCUCAAUCCGCCAGACCUCAAUACGACACUCGCAACAGCACGGGCAUACGAGCGCCGAUCACAGAGCUUGCCAUGGGGCCACCUGCCAGCAGGAGAGAGGGAACCACGGCCCACACCUCGCCCUGCAGCCACGGGAACAUCUGUUUUAGAGCAGUUAGCCAGCUCAAAACUCCCCCAGCAGUCGACACAGAGAUUCAAACGUCUGACACCCACGGAAAUGGACGAGCGCCGCAAGCAAGGCCUCUGUUACAAUUGUGAUGAGCAAUAUUUCCGGGGGCACCCUUGUCAGUGUCCGUCCGAAGAAGAAGACCCAUCAACAAUAGAGCAUGUGCUCUCACUCCAUGCUUUUAUGGGAACCUGGACAGAAGACACAAUGCAGAUCGUGCUCUCUAUACAUGGCCAUCACCUGACAGCAUUGCUAGACUCGGGCUCCACACAAUUUCCUCGACCUAGCCUCAUUGAAGCGACUGGACAUCACUAUGGGACUGUCACCAAUGGCGAAAGAGUGGCCUGCAAGGGAUUCACAGAGGCCAUGCCAGUCGUCAUCGGCCACGAGCAUUUCGCAAUACCCUGCUACACCAUUCCAUUGGACAGUUUCGACGUCAUCCUGGGGGUUAAUUUCCUCCGAACGCUGGGUCCAAUCUUAUGGGACUUUGACGACCUCUGUAUGCCAUUCUGGCAUGGGGGUCGGCGGGUCUUUUGGAAGGGACUUGGAUCACCACGCAAUGACAUCCAUGAACCAGCUACUCGUUCACUACAGAUGGCAGACCCUCAGAUGAUGGAGCAACUAUUGCAGUCAUUUGAAUCAGUGUUUCAAGAACCACAAGGGCUUCCCCCAGCCCGCCACUGCGAUCAUAAGAUUCACCUAAAAACAGGGACACGAUCAGUGGUUGUUAGACCGUACAGGUAUCCACAACUGUAGAAAGAUGAAUUGGAACGGCAGUGCACAACUAUGCUCACACAAGGGAUUAUCCGACCCAGCACAUCUGCAUUUUCUGCUCCUGUCCUUUUGGUAAAAAAAGCGGACAAUUCUUGGCGCUUUUGUCUAGAUUAUAGAGCUUUGAAUGACUGCACAAUAAAAGAUAAAUACCCAAUACCCGUGGUUGAUGAGCUCUUAGAUGAACUCCAUGGGCACACACUACUUCACCGAUUUGGACCUCCGCUCGGGGUAUUAUCAAGUAUGGGUACAUCCAAAGGAUGUGGAGAAAACAACUUUUCGUACUCAUCAUGGUCACUUCAAAUUUCUGGUUAUGCCGUUUGGACUGUCCAAUGCUCCCUCAACAUUUCAAAGCUUGAUGAAUGAAGUCCUAGGGCCGUUCCUGUGGCGGUUUGUGCUCGUAUUUUUUGAUGAUAUACUGAUUUUUAGUACUAGGACCGAGCAUUUGCGCGAUGUUGCAGCAGUCAUGGACACCCUCCGGAGCAACAACCUAUUUGUCAAACGAUCCAAAUGCAUAUUUGGGGCCAGCUCCAUUGCAUAUUUGGUACAUGUAAUAUCAGCACAAGGAGUGGCCAUGGAUCCAGAUAAGGUAGAAGCAGCCAUUACCUGGCCGCAACCACUCUCUGUUCGGGGAUUGCGGGGAUUUCUGGGUCUCGCAGGGUACUACAGAAAAUUCAUACAUAACUUCGCAGUCAUAGCAGCACCCCUUACACAGCUUUUGCGCAAAGAAGGCUUCAAAUGGACUGAAGCAGCCGAGUCGGCCGAGUCCGCCUUUACAGCCUUCAAAACAGCAUUAACAGCAGCAUCUGUACUCCAGCUACCAUCAUUCACCAAAGACUUCAUGGUUGAUUGUGAUGCAUCCGGCACAGGCUUUGGGGCAGUCCUUCAUCAGGGAACAGGACCCAUUGCAUUCUUCAAUCGUCCUUUAUCAGCUAGACACCACAAAUUAGCAACAUAUGAAAGAGAGCUUAUUGGUCUCGUACAAGCAGUACGACACUGGCGGCCAUAUUUGUGGGGACGCCGCUUCAUCAUACGAACAGACCACUAUAGUCUCAAGUUCCUCCUCGACCAGCGACUCUCCACAAUCCCGCAGCACCAGUGGAUUAGUAAAAUCCUUGGGUUUGAUUUCUCUGUCCAGUACCAGCCAGGUCGCCUCAACACAGUAGCAGAUGCACUCUCCCGUCACGAUGCGGACACCCUUUUCUCUGCGGCUCUAUCGGGACCAACUUUUACCCUCUAUGAUGACCUCCGAAGGGACACUGCCCAGGACCCAGACUGCCAAACCAUGUGCACCCAGAUUCGAGAGGGAACCUUGCCUCCCCCAUGGCGGGUGCAGGACGGUCUCAUUCUCCAUGGUCGACGCAUUUAUGUGCCAACAUCAUCAGAUUGUUUGACGGCGCUGUUGCAAACAAUCCAUAAUGCAGGCCAUGAAGGGAUUCAGAAGACACUUACCAGACUAAGGGCUGAUUUCUAUAUCCCACGGGACAAAGCUCGAGUUCGAGACUUUGUUAAGUUUGUACAACAUGUCAACGCAACAAAACAGAGCAUCUGCACCCAGCGGGCCUCUUACAGCCAUUGGACAUUCCCUCACAGGUGUGGGCAGAUAUCUCAAUGGACUUUGUUGAAGGAUUGCCACGAGUUCAUGAAAAAUCUGUGAUCCUGAUAGUAGUGGAUCGAUUCUCCAAAUACACCCAUUUCAUUGCACUUAGUCACCCCUACACCGCAGCUUCUGUUGCCAGGAUCUUCUUUGCGGAAAUUGUUCGUCUUCAAGGAAUCCCCUCAUCCAUUGUGAGUGAUCGGGACCCGGUCUUCACUAGCCAUCUAUGGAAGGACUUAUUCAAGCUGACUGGCAGCAAACUCCGGUUAAGCACUGUGUUCCACCCCCAAACAGAUGGUCAAUCUGAAGUCGUCAAUCGCACAAUUGCUAUGUACUUGCGAUGCAUCACAGGAGAUCGACCUCGUUCCUGGCUGGACUGGCUUCCAUGGGCGGAAUAUUGCUAUAAUACAUCCUUCCACUUAGCACUGCAGACUACAUUCAAAUUGGUCUACGGACGUGAGCCUCCGGCACUGGUACCAUACCAACAGAGCACAGCGCAAUCCCAAACCGUGGAAGACCUGCUACAAGACUGAGACAAUUUCCUGGCAGAGGUGCGGGACCGUCUUCUUCAAGCACAACAGCAUGCCAAGCGUUGGUAUGACAACCAUCACCGGGAAGUGGCUUUCGAGGUAGGAGACUGGGUCUGGCUUCGACUCUACACAUGCCAAUGCGCUCCCUGGUUGACAAAGCACACAGCAAGCUGGCACCAAAGACUCUUAAAGGCAUUUCACGGCACUCCAUCAACAGAGAUUCCACAAUUGCCCCCAACAGCACAGGGCCGCUUAUUGCCAGUACCAGACAAGGUCCUAAAGGCUAGUCUUUGUCGAGGCAUUUGGCAUGUUCUCGUCCAAUGGGGAGGCAUGGCCACCAAGCAAGCUACAUGGGAACCACUGCAGAAGUUCAAGGACCAGUACCCAGAUCAUCAGCUCGAGGAUGAGCUGUUCUUGAAGGCGGGGAGAGAUGUUAUGGUCGGACAGACAUACAAGAGAAGGGAUAAGGAUGGCGAGUGUUAGGCCGCCUGAAGGGAUAAGUCUGCUAUAGGAUAGUUUGUUAAGAUAGGGGUUCAAGCUAAUUAGAUCAGCCUAUUUGUUAGGAGAUUUCAGUUGGCCAUAGGCCUAUAUAAGUAGGACUUUUGUAAUAUGCCAGGUAGGCAAGAAGUAAUAAAGAUAUUGCUCCCUGCCCCUUGUUCACAUACCUGCCUCUCCUCUCGGGUAGCCACGGCGCCUGGAC